GUGGCUAAAUUGGUUAGAGCGUCCGCCUCGGAUGCGGGUGGUGGAGGGUUCAAAUCCAGACUGACUCA